UACGUAGGGUGCGAGCGUUAAUCGGAAUUACUGGGCGUAAAGCGUGCGCAGGCGGUUUUGCAAGCCGGAUGUGAAAUCCCCGGGCUCACCUGGGAAUGGCAUUCGGGACUGCAAGGCUGGAGUGCGGCAGAGGAGACUGGAAUUCCUGGUGUAGCAGUGAAAUGCGUAGAUAUCAGGAGGAAUACCGAUGGCGAAGGCAGGUCUCUGGGCUGACACUGACGCUCAUGCACGAAAGCGUGGGUAGCAAACAGG
rnacentral:rRNA from 1 species